rnacentral:rRNA from 1 species
UACGUAGGGUGCAAGCGUUAAUCGGAAUUACUGGGCGUAAAGCGUGCGCAGGCGGUCGUGCAAGACAGGUGUGAAAUCCCCGGGCUUAACCUGGGAACUGCAUUUGUGACUGCACGGCUAGAGUGUGUCAGAGGGGGGUAGAAUUCCACGUGUAGCAGUGAAAUGCGUAGAUAUGUGGAGGAAUACCAAUUGCGAAGGCAGCUCGCUGGGACGUCACUGACGCUGAGACGCGAAAGCGUGGGGAGCAAACAGG